GCGAACGGGUGAGUAAUGAAUCGGAACGUGCCCGGUAGUGGGGGAUAACCAGUCGAAAGACUGGCUAAUACCGCAUACGACCUACGGGUGAAAGCGGGGGACCGUAAGGCCUCGCGCUAUCGGAGCGGCCGAUUUCCGAUUAGCUAGUUGGUGAGGUAAAGGCUCACCAAGGCGAUGAUCGGUAGCUGGUCUGAGAGGACGGCCAGCCACACUGGGACUGAGACACGGUCCAGACUCAUACGGGAGGCAGCAGUGGGGAAUUUUGGACAAUGGGCGAAAGCCUGAUCCAGCCAUGCCGCGUGUCUGAAGAAGGCCUUCGGGUUGUAAAGGACUUUUGUCGAGGAGCAAACCUCUGUGGCUAAUAUCCACGGAGCUGAGAGUACUCGAAGAAUAAGCACCGGCUAACUACGUGCCAGCCGGCGCGG
rnacentral:rRNA from 1 species